CUACGGGCGGCAGCAGUGGGGAAUAUUGCACAAUGGGCGCAAGCCUGAUGCAGCCAUGCCGCGUGUAUGAAGAAGGCCUUCGGGUUGUAAAGUACUUUCAGCGGGGAGGAAGGGAGUAAAGUUAAUACCUUUGCUCAUUGACAUUACCCGCAGAAGAAGCACCGGCAAACUCCGUGCCAGCAGCCGCGGUAAUACGGAGGGUGCAAGCGUUAAUCGGAAUUACUGGGCGUAAAGCGCACGCAGGCGGUUUGUUAAGUCAGAUGUGAAAUCCCCGGGCUCAACCUGGGAACUGCAUCUGAUACUGGCAAGCUUGAGUCUCGUAGAGGGGGGUAGAAUUCCAGGUGUAGCGGUGAAAUGCGUAGAGACCUGGAGGAAUACCGGUGGCGAAGGCGGCCCCCUGGACGAAGACUGACGCUCAGGUGCGAAAGCGUGGGGAGCAAACAGGAUUAGAUACCCGAGUAGUC
rnacentral:rRNA from 1 species